UUUAGUGGCGAACGGGUGCGUAAUACGUGAGAAUCUGCCCUUAGGAGGAGAAUAACUUCUGGAAACGGUUGCUAAGUCUCCAUAUGCCGAGAGGUGAAAUAGUUUAUACUGCCUAGGGAUGAGCUCACGCCUGAUUAGCUUGUUGGUAAGGUAAUGGCUUACCAAGGCCACGAUCAGUAGCUGGUUUGAGAGAACGAUCAGCCACACUGGGACUGAGACACGGCCCAGACUCCUCCGGGAGGCAGCAGUGAGGAAUUUUCCGCAAUGGGCGAAAGCCUGACGGAGCAAUACCGCGUGAGGGAUGAAGGAUUUUGGUCUGUAAACCUCUUUUCUCAAGAAAGAAGUUCUGACGGUACUUGAGGAAUAAGCAUCGGCUAACUCCGUGCCAGCAGCCGCGGUAAUACGGGGGAUGCAAGCGUUAUCCGGAAUCAUUGGGCGUAAAGCGCCUGUAGGUUGUUUAAUAAGUCUGUUGUUAAAGACUAGGGCUUAACCCUAGGAAAGCAAUGGAAACUGCUAGACUUGAGUAUGAUAGGGGUA
rnacentral:rRNA from 1 species